UCCUUUGCUUAACCAAUUUGAGCCGAAAAAGAAAAUGUUAUUUUUUGCACAACCUUAAGAAAAUUUUGAUGAGAAAAAAAGGAAUGACUUUCUUGGAGGUUAGACACCUAAUUAGUGGUUGAUGCGCAUUGCUCACCACUAAGUUUGGGGUUGCUCUUUGGAAUUAGCAACAAAUAAGUUUGGGGUGAGGGUUCUAGAGAACUUAUACAAAGUUUGGAUUUGCAAGGCGUUAGUCAUAUGAAAGAGAAAAGAAGAAAAGUUUG
rnacentral:lncRNA from 1 species